rnacentral:rRNA from 1 species
GCCGGCAAGUCCUUUAUUGACGCUAAAGCUCGAAAGUGCGGGUAUCGAACAGGAUUAGAUACCCUGGUAGUCCGCACGGUAAACGAUGGAUGCCCGCUGUCGGCGAUACAGUGUCAGCGGCCAAGCGAAAGCGUUAAGCAUCCCACCUGGGGAGUACGCCGGCAACGGUGAAACUCAAAGGAAUUGACGGGGGCCCGCACAAGCGGAGGAACAUGUGGUUUAAUUCGAUGAUACGCGAGGAACCUUACCCGGGCUUGAACUGCAGCUGAACGAUCCAGAGAUGGUGAGGCCCUUCGGGGCAGCUGUGGAGGUGCUGCAUGGUUGUCGUCAGCUCGUGCCGUGAGGUGUCGGCUUAAGUGCCAUAACGAGCGCAACCCUUUUCUUUAGUUGCCAUCAGGUGAUGCUGGGCACUCUGAAGAUACUGCCACCGUAAGGUGUGAGGAAGGUGGGGAUGACGUCAAAUCAGCACGGCCCUUACGUCCGGGGCUACACACGUGUUACAAUGGGUGGUACAGAGAGUCAGCGGCCGGCAACGUCCGCUUAAUCAUGAAAGCCAUCCUCAGUUCGGAUUGGGGUCUGCAACCCGACCCCAUGAAGCUG